CAACAUCUGAUGGGGAACAGGGGACAUCAGCACCGACCCAGCGCCCUCGUAACCUACGGACAGACAGACGAGACGACGGGAGGCUUUGCAUCACUUUCUGCUUUUUAACGACCCAGGAGGUGGGAAUGUCAAUGACCGCUGCCAUCUCACAUCCCCGAGCUGAAAACGAAGCGUGUGGAGUUGAGACGAUACGGGGGAAACUUCGCCUAUUGCACGUUCCGAGAAUUUGAAAUGGAGCAGUUUGAAGUCCGUAAAAUUCUCUGUUGAGACACUCGGCUCUCCUGGUAGCUGCUCUUGUGAUUUGCAGAAUACUUCGUCUGUCACGACUGUAACUGGGAAUCCACAGGAGGUGAACUCAAUCAGAUUAGACUAUUUACCCCAUCAACCCUCCAUCACAGAAGGUUUUGUUACUGCGUCUGAUACUGACCCAAACCGAAGACCUACGUCUAGUAAAAGACGUGUAGGAACGUUAAGAAAAAAGAACUCCAGGACUUAAUUCUCACUUUAAUACAUCGCGAUGUGACUAAUGAUUUCUUCUCCUUCAUUUAUUUACCGAUCAAUUUCUUUGCGCCUCUGGUAUUUAGAGCUGACGUUCGUGCAAAUUUUACAGAUUUGAUGUGAAAUGGAAG